CCUACGGGAGGCAGCAGUGAGGAAUAUUGGUCAAUGGCCGGAAGGCUGAACCAGCCAAGCCGCGUGAAGGACGAAGGUGCCAAGCAUUGUAAACUUCUUUUGUCAAGGGACAAAAUCAGGCUCGAGAGCCUGACCGAGGGUCCUUGAAGAAAAAGCAUCGGCUAACUCCGUGCCAGCAGCCGCGGUCAUACGGCGGAUGCGCGGGUUAUCCGGUUUUAUUGGGUUUAAAGGGUGCGUAGGCGGACUGUUAAGUCAGCGGUAAACGCCCGGGGCGAAACCCCGGCGAGCCGUUGAAACUGGCUGUCUUGAGAUGUCGAGAGGUAUGCGGAAUGCGCAGUGUAGCGGUGAAAUGCAUAGAUAUCACACAGAACACCGAUUGCGAAGGCAUCUGACGAAUCGGAGAUUGACGCUGAUGCACGAAAGCGUGGGUAUCGAACAGGAUUAGAUACCCUUGUAGUC
rnacentral:rRNA from 1 species